rnacentral:misc_RNA from 1 species
UUAAGUUCAGCGGGUAGUCCUACUCGAUUUGAGGUCAAGUUGUCAGAUGAUUGUCCGAAGACGGUUUGAAGCACAGAGCUCCUGAUCAGUCACCCUCUUGCGAGGUGCCGGCGAAGACACUUAUCACGCCGUACUAUGUCCAACCUGGAGUUGCACUAAUGCAUUUGAGGCAAGCUGCAGUAAAGCAGCAAUGCCCAAGU